rnacentral:tRNA from 1 species
UAAGUGUAAAAAAGACUUCUAAUCUUAACCAAGCUUACUAGCUACACUUAACC